UGCCUAGUUAAAUAAAUAAAUAAAAUGGAGAACCUAAGAAUGCAGAUUGAAGGUCGGUUGUUUCCACAAGAUGGCACUGUCUGCCAUGGACAUGGUCCUCAAAUGAAGGGUAGUCAGUUAUGAGCAAUGGCGUCGUCGUCAUUUUAGUUAUGCCUUGCAUGAUGAUAACAUUUUUAAGAGGUCAAAUUUACAUCAUUAUGGUGGUAAGUUACUCUGGUGUUUGAAUUAUGAACAUGCAAUGCUCCUCUUCAUUUAGGUGGUUCAAUGAAAUCCCUCAUAGUAAGCAUCGUUACUAAUUUUAUUCGGAAUUCAAAGUUACCAUGGUGCUUGUGUUAAUUAGCUCCAUAUUAAGUGGUGCAGUCUGAACUCUAGAUGAAAGAUGGAGCAGAGAGGACCCAGAGCACAGAGCAUCCCCUGAGCGGAGCAUAGAGGAGAUUCUCACCAGGAGGGAGAAGAGGAGAGCCGCCCUCAGCAGUGGAAGUGUUUUGAAAGAGGAAGAUGAUGACAAUCAACCAGAGAAUGAUAUACCGCCACAUUUCCUCACAAUUCCUGACCUCCCUCCCUCACUUCUGUCCCCUCCCCCUAGUGGAUGGAAAGUCUGGCUGAACUGAAUGGGGUUAAUUAAAGGAGAUUCACCAUUGUAUUUCUCAAAGUUACACUUGGUGAUGCAAGAACUGAUCAUUUCUUUUUAUUAGGCCUCAAAGUUUUACUUGAUGAAGAUUGGCUCUGAGGGAGAUGCCAGGACAGGGAUACUUUGCUGGUUGGUUGGCCAGCAGUGUGAGUACCUCCUCUACUCUGAAUAUUAUGGCCAUUCUGGCUGUAUUACAUCUCUGGGCUCUGUGAUUAAAAACUCACAUGGCCAAUUUUGAAGCAGGACUACAGUUACUGACUUGUCUCAAGGCCUUAGUAAGCCCCCACCGAGAGCCCUGAUAAGUUUCCCUGAACCAGGCAUAAAAUAACUCAACAUAAUUAAGUUGGUAUUUACACUUGUAGUUUUGCAUUUAUUCAAAGUAUUCACCAAAAUGUACUAUGUACAGUCAUUGUACCAAACAAAAUUCUAAGUAGAAAAGUUUGUAGCUAUUAAUAGUAGCUUUUUGCUACCAUCCAACCAUUAGUAUGCAGCUUGCAUUGGUUGAUUAAUUGCCGGUAUACUGUGCUCUUUAUAUCUGCUCUGCUUCUCUUUACCAUCCUCACUGCUCUUUAAGACCUUAACCACCUCCAAUGAGAAGUUGCUGUGCUGAAUACUGAGUCCAUUCCCUGCUGAAAUGUGACACAUUAACAACGGUCUCUCUCGGCUCCGCAAGAGAAUUACAAGCAGAGUCCCAAUGUACGAGUGGCACAGCGGUCUAAGGCAACGAAUCUCAGCGCAAGAGUUGUCACUACAGUCCCUGGUUCGAAUCCGGGCUGUAUCACCUCUGGCCAUGAUUGGGAGUCCCAUAGGGCGGCACACAAUUAGCCCAACGUCAUCCGGGUUUGGAAUGGGUAGGCCGUCAUUGUAAAUAAGA